GGCCAGUUAUCUCAGUCAGUUAGAGUGUGGUGCUGAUAACACCAAGGUCCCGGGUUCAACCCCCGUUCGGUCCC
rfam:Apaloderma vittatum contig74519, whole genome shotgun sequence.